rnacentral:misc_RNA from 1 species
GCCAGUCAAGCUAUAUGCCCCAGAAACACAAGAAAAUACAAUGAACUAUUCAGUGCCAACCCACUUUGAUAGUUUAGAAGCUUUAUACCCGACUCAACCACGGAUUACAGCCCAAAACAUUUGGAGUGGGCUCCAAAGAUCCCUUAUCUCCAUUCUAUUCAAUUUUAAGAACAAACUUUAUGUAUGCUGCUGUGACACUACAUUUUCUUUUUUCCAUUUCAAUCCACAAAUUCCAUUGUAGACAACAAAU